AGUACUGUGAAGGAAAGGCGAAAAGAACCCCGGUGAGGGGAGUGAAAUAGAACCUGAAACCUUGUACGUACAAGCAGUGGGAGCCCGCAAGGGUGACUGCGUACCUUUUGUAUAAUGGGUCAGCGACUUAUAUUUUGUAGCGAGGUUAACCGAAUAGGGGAGCCGAAGGGAAACCGAGUCUUAACUGGGCGAAUAGUUGCAAGGUAUAGACCCGAAACCCGGUGAUCUAGCCAUGGGCAGGUUGAAGGUUGGGUAACACUAACUGGAGGACCGAACCGACUAAUGUUGAAAAAUUAGCGGAUGACUUGUGGCUGGGGGUGAAAGGCCAAUCAAACCGGGAGAUAGCUGGUUCUCCCCGAAAUCUAUUUAGGUAGAGCCUUGAGCGGACACCUUCGGGGGUAGAGCACUGUUUCGGCUAGGGGUCCAUCCCGGAUUACCAACCCGAUGCAAACUACGAAUACCGAAGAGUGAUACUCAGGAGACACACGGCGGGUGCUAACGUCCGUCGUGGAGAGGGAAACAACCCAGACCGCCAGCUAAGGUCCCAAAGUCUAUAUUAAGUGGGAAACGAAGUGGGAAGGCUUAGACAGCUAGGAUGUUGGCUUAGAAGCAGCCAUCAUUUAAAGAAAGCGUAAUAGCUCACUAGUCGAGUCGGCCUGCGCGGAAGAUGUAACGGGGCUCAAAUAUAGCACCGAAGCUGCGGCAUCAGACGAAAGUCUGUUGGGUAGGGGAGCGUUCUGUAAGCGGAUGAAGGUUCAUCGAGAGGUGGGCGGGACGUAUCACAAGUGCGAAUGCUGACAUAAGUAACGAUAAAACGGGUGAAAAACCCGUUCGCCGGAAGACCAAGGGUUCCUGUCCAACGUUAAUCGGGGCAGGGUGAGUCGGCCCCUAAGGCGAGGCUGAAAAGCGUAGUCGAUGGGAAACGGGUUAAUAUUCCCGUACUUGGAUAAACUGCGAUGUGGGGACGGAGCAGGUUAGGUUAUCGCACUGUUGGAUAUGUGCGUUUAAGUUGGUAGGUGGGAAGUUUAGGCAAAUCCGGACUUCCUUAACACUGAGAGAUGAUGACGAGGCUCUACGGAGCUGAAGUAACUGAUACCACACUUCCAGGAAAAGCCACUAAGCGAAAGGCUUUACUAAACCGUACUGAAAACCGACACAGGUGGUCAGGUAGAGAAUACUCAGGCGCUUGAGAGAACUCGGGUGAAGGAACUAGGCAAAAUAGCACCGUAACUUCGGGAGAAGGUGCGCCGGCGUAGAUUGUAGUCCCUCGCGGGCGAAGGUUGAACCGGUCGAAGAUACCAGCUGGCUGCAACUGUUUAUUAAAAACACAGCACUCUGCAAACACGAAAGUGGACGUAUAGGGUGUGACGCCUGCCCGGUGCUGGAAGGUUAAUUGAAGAUGUGCAAGCAUCGGAUCGAAGCCCCAGUAAACGGCGGCCGUAACUAUAACGGUCCUAAGGUAGCGAAAUUCCUUGUCGGGUAAGUUCCGACCUGCACGAAUGGCAUAAUGAUGGCCAGGCUGUCUCCACCCGAGACUCAGUGAAAUUGAAAUCGCCGUGAAGAUGCGGUGUACCCGCGGCUAGACGGAAAGACCCCGUGAACCUUUACUAUAGCUUGACACUGAACAUUGAAUUUUGAUGUGUAGGAUAGGUGGGAGACUUUGAAGCAGUCACGCCAGUGAUUGUGGAGUCGUCCUUGAAAUACCA
rnacentral:rRNA from 1 species